GGGUAAUAUUGCGCAAUGGGCGCAAGCCUGACGCAGCGACGCCGCGUGAGGGAUGAAGGUCCUCGGAUCGUAUACUUCUGUCAGCAGGGAAGAAACCGCACCGUCCUAAUCAGCGGCGCAUCGACGGUACCCUCAAAGGAAGCACCGGCUAACUCCGUGCCAGCAGCCGCGGUAAUACGGAGGGUGCAAGCGUUAAUCGGAAUUACUGGGCGUAAAGCGCACGUAGGCUGCUUUGUAAGUCAGGGGUGAAAUCCCACGGCUCAACCGUGGAACUGCCUUUGAUACUGCUUAGCUUGAAGCCGGGAGAGGGUGGCGGAAUUCCAGGUGUAGGAGUGAAAUCCGUAGAUAACUGGAGGAACAGCAGUGGCGAAGGCGGCCACCUGGACCGGUAUUGACGCUGAGGUGCGAAAGCGUGGGGAGCAAACA
rnacentral:rRNA from 1 species